UACGUAGGGUGCAAGCGUUAAUCGGAAUUACUGGGCGUAAAGCGUGCGUAGGCGGCUUCGAUAGUCGGGUGUGAAAUGCCUGGGCUCAACCCAGGAACUGCACUCGAAACUCCGAGGCUAGAGUGUGGGAGAGGAUAGUGGAAUUCCCAGUGUAGAGGUGAAAUUCGUAGAUAUUGGGAAGAACACCGGUGGCGAAGGCGGCUAUCUGGACCACAACUGACGCUGAGGCGCGAAAGCGUGGGGAGCAAACAGG
rnacentral:rRNA from 1 species